UACGGGGGGGGCAAGCGUUGUUCGGAAUUACUGGACGUAAAGGGCUCGUAGGUGGCCAACUAAGUCAGACGUGAAAUCCCUCGGCUUAACCGGGGAACUGCGUCUGAUACUGGAUGGCUUGAGUUCGGGAGAGGGAUGCGGAAUUCCAGGUGUAGCGGUGAAAUGCGUAGAUAUCUGGAGGAACACCGGUGGCGAAGGCGGCAUCCUGGACCGACACUGACGCUGAGGAGCGAAAGCCAGGGGAGCAAACGGG
rnacentral:rRNA from 1 species